UACGUAGGUGGCAAGCGUUGUCCGGAUUUAUUGGGCGUAAAGCGCGCGCAGGCGGUCCUUUAAGUCUGAUGUGAAAUCUCGGGGCUCAACCCCGAGCGGUCAUUGGAAACUGGGGGGACUUGAGUGCAGAAGAGAAGAGCGGAAUUCCACGUGUAGCGGUGAAAUGCGUAGAGAUGUGGAGGAACACCAGUGGCGAAGGCGGCUCUUUGGUCUGUAACUGACGCUGAGGCGCGAAAAGCGUGGGGGAGCGAACAGG
rnacentral:rRNA from 1 species